CCUGAGGGGCUUAAACUCUGCUCACCAUACACACACUCCCAUCCCAUUUGAUUUUCCCAUGGUAGCAAACAUUGCCAGUCUCAAAGGAUAUGCAGAUGAUACAACAAAAGACGAAACUGACAUGUUUUCUGGUAGGCAGCAUCAAACCAGAUACCAGAACUUUAUCUGAAGCUGCUCAAGCUAGAGCAGGAGACAGAACUGCUCAGGAACAUUAACAGAACCCUGAGAGAGCAGAACGUGCUUCUCAAAGCAUCACUUGCAAAAAUUGCUUCUGGUCAAGCCCCGAAGCCUUCCAACACUCUGAAGAUCGGCGGGAUGACUGUGCAACUGCCAUCCGCCGGGGAGAUGAGCCAAAUGUGCACACAGCAAGCCGGCUCUGACCGAGAGCUUGCCAAGGCUCUGAAGGUGUUCUACCAAAGCAUGAACACGGCAAGAGGGCAGCUUUUCAGACUCAGACGGCACCAACCUCCGGUAAGGAACUGGAAUCCUGGGAGCACACAGAAUUUCUUUCCAUCCAAUUUAGACAUUUGAUGUAACUAUUUCCUGAGCUUGGAGACGUAUAUGCUGAAGCGGAAGAGCAAGGCGAGGAGGCCCUGCUUGACCUGCUCUGUGAGCGCGAAUCUGCUGCCCUCUCAGGCCGUCGUCCGUCUCUGCUCUGACCUUUUUAUUUGAGUGCACAUCCGGCUGGCUCCGCGCUACCACGGUCACUGCACGACUGAUACCCACUCACUUUACAAUGCAAUAUACAGACUACCCUGUUUGGUUUAUCAUUAUAAAACCCAAUGUAAU
rnacentral:lncRNA from 1 species